rnacentral:rRNA from 1 species
UAUGUAUUGUUAAAAGGCAUCUAAACUAGAUGACACAUGAUCAUCCACGUUUAAUUUGCGUAAUUGCACGCGCAUUUCCCGCUGGAGAGCUGCACAGGUGCAGCCGUGUCCAUAUGUGACAUAAAACAACGCACCCGAUUACCCAAACCGUUCUCGCGGAAGAGGAAAAGAACAAAACUCACCCGGUGCAGAACAACCCAAAAAUAACCCCUCCCUCUUAUUAUUCUUCUGUCUCUUCGUCCGUGAGUGCGUUGGGAGAGAGUGGCGGCAGAGUAGAGGAGGCGCCGAGGCGGCGGAAGCGGAGGGGAGGGGAGGGUGGAGUCGCGGCGACGGAGACAGACGAGGCGGAGCGAGAGGAGGCAGGGAAGUGCGCGGUGCGGCGGAGGUGUCCCAGGUCGGAGGUGGCCUCGGCUAGAGAGGCGACUCGUGCGGGGCGCGGCGGCAACGACGGUUCCCGAGGAGCCCCGGCAACGUCGGCCCCUCCGCCGGACGUCCUCCCGGGAUUUACGCCGACUGCUGAGGUAGGGGCCAGCGUACACCGCCGUCGGUCGGGUCGAGGCGGAGAAGGUCGGGUAGAAGAACCCGUAGUAACCAUCACUUCUUCCUGAGAACGUCGACGCUUUAUAAUCUUCUCCUUUUAGAAUACCAAACUUCCCAAGUCUAGGUAUUAGACUAUUAUAAUCCUGGGAACUAGGAAGUUGGUAAUACUCUAAAGUUCCGUCUAUCACGUUGAACAUGACAAAUGGAACUAAUUUAGUUACGGAAGACAUCGAAUUCCAAAUUAAUCGUCUGAUGAUUACGAAACUAUAAGAGGAAAGACUUAAGGUAUGAACCAUGUUGUUACAAGGAGUGGGCCAGUGGGGUUUGACCACCUUAUAUUCUUGCUAGCCUUGACCCUGUGUUACAGGCCACUGAUAGAACAAAAGGGACCUCCGCCCUGAGUUAAGUUUAUACUACAACGUUCUAUGUAUGUCAAACAUCUUGUCCACGAUGCACUGAAGUGACCAGCGUAAUAACUGACUCUAAAGCUCAUGCUGUUGAAGUGUUUUUACCGUGUUUUUUAGGACACGAUGUUUCCGAUCGAAGUAUCACAGGUACCGUACAACUACCGAUCGAGAUGACGCAGAUGUGGCACCUCGAGCUUCCGACGACGAUAAUGAAGAACGCGGUAAUAAACCGUUGGAUGACGACGUCAGAGGUCUCUACUGUGGUAAUCAUACCCAGUCAACGUAACCACUGCGACUCGUGUUUCGAUACUUAGGUGAGGGAAAACGAGACCUGACACAAACCAAUACCGCAUUUGACCGAUAGAGCUGUUGUAAAUACGACUUCAAUAGCUGGGAGGUUUCUUACCCUACAAUCUACAGUAUCUUGAACAGACACCACAAUAGUUCGUAAGUGCCUUAGGUUUACAGUACCAAAGAUCUUUACCCGCACUCGAUAACCUUACGGGGUACACAAACCAAGGGUACAUAGGAGGUUAAGUAGUCACGAGGUUACAGGUACGAUAAACAAGACUUACGUUCGGUUCCCAAGUAUUUACGAAACCUCUUCCAACCGCGGAGAGAUCUCCAAGACAUGUUCAAGGUCUUGAAACCUACGAACCCUUAUAUAGGAAUAAUAACGUUCAACUUUGUACUUAGUCUCACAGUUAUGUCUGGUAUAUGACCGGGUGUACGUCCAAAAUUUAAAAACACCUAAAUACACUACCUUAGAACUGUACAGCUCUUACGCAGCUCUUUUACGUUGUACUGAACAACAAACUUCAAUGUUGGAAUGUCCCCGUAGCUGAGUUUAAACGUUGCUGCUUAAAAUAUGGUACGAACACAUCGAGUCAGACACCGCCCGCUCCGCACCCUCCACUGCUACUGCUUACUAUACCACCAGUCGUCUAUUUUCUUCGGCAAGUAGAGGUAACGGGUCAACCCCGGAGAAUCCCCUGAUUAGAUCGUAGCCCGCAAUGUCCUCCUCUCUGCGAGAGUACCUAAUCCUACAACGUGUAGUAACUGCCCAGUAAGGUACCUAAUCCUACAACGUGUAGUAGCUGCCCAGUAAGGUACCUAAUCCUACAACGUGUAGUAGCUGCCCAGUAAGGCGUACGACGAGAACAACUAAACAAGAACUGUAUAGGAGACACCACAACAAGGAAAACUUAGUGAACCACCAAAUAUAAUCGUUCAUGAUAGUAAACCAGUGAAAACUUGGUGGCUAUAACAUACGCUAGUCAGGAGAUUUGUUAUUUUGAUAACGAAAACACAUCAUAUAUACUACAGUAAUAAUAAGAAAAUUCCGCCUAGGUAAGAAACUUACACAACAUAUCGAGACAGAAUAACAAGGGCAGUGGUUUAAAAUAUAACAACAUGAAACUCAGAUUACGUU